GAAACAAUAUGGAAAUGCUUGUGUUUCCUGAUUAAAAUGCUUGCAUUUAUGUCUACAGAGAAAUAGCGUGCACACACACAUCCUGUAAUACGAUAUGUACCACAUCCUAUGCAGUGCAUUGCGGUUAGAAAAAAACAAGCAUAAUUGUAGAUUGUAGUGUAAAUGUGCAUCUGCAACUCACUUACUUAAUCUGUAAGCUUGAAGCUUUUUUGGGUGCUUUCUUUCAUCUGAGAAAGAAGACUGCACAGACAGCUUGACGAACAGCAUGAAGAGGAAAUCACCAACACUUUAGAUUGCAGUCUCAAGAUACAACUGAGAUUUUUGAGAAAGCAUACACCGAUGAAAGAUAGGAGUGUGUUUCCAGAUAUUGGAAUAUUUUAGAGAUCCACACCCGAGAGUUGAAGACAGAUCUGAGGUCAGAGCACUCAUCAGGGCUUGGCAGCUGAAACGACGCAAGUGUCUUGUCCCACAGACAUUAUCCCAAGACAUACAAGAUGCUGCAUUAAAACAAAGUGUAAUAAGGAUAGACUGUGAUGCUGAAUUAAAAAAUUAUUUGUGGUCCAUAACUGAUCGAAUCGGUCGGAAUAGACCAAGAGUCUGUGGAGGUCUGACUUCAGAUGCCAUGCUGCUGGAUAGUAGCUUCCAGUCAGUGACCGGAAUGUCUUUUGACUGAGUUUUGGAACAAUUAUUCAUAGGUCAUGUAAGCUUAACUGCCUACACAUUAGACAUUAAUUUUGUAAAGAACAAUAUGUGUACUAAUGUAGCUAGCCACUGUUUACUUCAAAUAUUGGGUCUUGAGAAGAAAUGCUUAUAAUACUCAUAAUUUGAAAUCGAUACAAAUGUAAAUAUAUAUGGCUAGGUUUAGGCAGGGGUUUUUAUAUUGUGGUAAGAUAAGAUAAGAUCCAUCACCCUUUAGCUGACUGGAGGAAAUGAUAAAAAACUGGAUAAUGUGUUUGACUUGUGUGACAAUGUGUUGUGGUAUCACUGCAUGCAUAGACAGUUUUUCAGGUGUAUUACAGUAGUGGCUUUAUUUCUCUGAUCCAAUUAUGUUCCUUAACUCAAAUGCAAUUACUGUAGUUGUGGUGUUUAAUUCUAAUAGGCUAUUUGUUUCUUUUUCAGUGUCACAUAGAUAAGAUGUAAUGAUUUAAUUCAAAAUAAACCUUAA